rnacentral:lncRNA from 1 species
UUCAUCUCUGCUAUUCCUUCUCCCUCCAGAAGGGAUGGAAACCCUAUUUUCUUUUCUCCAAGACCAUGGUUGGUCUGCUUCCCUCACUCGGGCUCCUUGACAGUCUUCUAGAAGAGAGGAGGAGGAAAAGAAGCAGUUCCUGAUGUUACAAAUGAACAAGGAUCUCCCAGGUAACCAGCUCCCCACACCCAUUUCUGUUACUAAUUUCUCAAAGAGAAAUUUCUGGUUCCCCUUCUUCCUUAUCACUGAGUGAAAGGGGACGGGCAUGCACAUGUGCCCAUACAUGCAUUCAGAAUAGAGUGUGGGGGCAGGGGCGGUAGUUCAUGCCUGUAAUCCCAGCACUUUGGGAGGCUGAGGCAGGUGGAUCAUUUGAGGUCAGUAGUUCAAGACCAGCCUGGCCAACAUACUGAAACCCUGUCUCUACUAAAAAUACAAAAAUUAGCCGGGCAUGGUGAUUCAUGCCUGUAGUCCCAGCUACUUAUGAGGCUGAGGCAGGAGAAUCACUUUAACGGGGUGACAGAGGUUGCAGUGAGCUGAGAUUGCACCACUGCACUCCAGCCUGGGUGACAGAGUGAGACUCCGUCUCAAAAAAUAAAAAAAAAGAAUAGAGUAUGGGGCUUGUUGGCUUGUUACCAUGCCCCUCCUGUCCACAGCCUUAGUCUUUGAGAAAAGAUGGCUGAAAGAGAGGAACUCUCCAAGUCAUUCCGCAAACAAAUGCCCAUUUAAACAUCAUCCUUGUCUUGUGAAGAAAACAGGAAGAAUGUCAUGCACCGUGUGGAUCACCUUCAGUUCAAAGUUGCAGCAAAGUGAAGAAACUACUGGAAGCCACCCAGCAAUGCACUGUUUAGUCAUCAAUUAGGAGCCCAUGGGAGGAUAAUAGGGAGACUGGGUGGAGGCUCAGUGUGUAAUAAUCUCUUGUCUAAUGUAUGUGUGUCACUGCCAUGUUGUAUGAACAAUAGUGAGGGCUCACAUUUACUUAACACUUGUGUACUCAAAUCUGGGUUUUUCUUUCUUUCCAGAACUAUGACUCAAUCAUAAAAUCUGUUUUGUUUGCAUGCAUGCCCAAAACAACCCUAUAGGUAGAACAUUAUCAUUAUCUCUGUUUUAGAGAUGAGGAAACAGGCUCAGAGAAGCUCAGAAAUUUGUUCAAGAUCGCACAGCUAGUAAAUGGCAGAAGUAGGAUUGUGAACCCAGGGAAUCUCCAGAGCCUCUGUGUAACCAUGAUAUUAUAUUUUUUUCCUCUUUAAAAACAAAAUUAAAAACCUUGCUAUAAUCUCUUAUUAGGAAAAGAUCAUAGUUUCUGAUUGUGCUCUGCCUUCCCAUCCUGCCAAUCUCCUGGACUGGGUUGGAGAAGACAGGGGGCCCCCGAGCUUCAUCUGUGACUCAAAGGAGUUUGCUGCUGUCUCCUGUGUCAGUGUCCCAUCUAUGCAGGAUCAGCACAGGACCCCCCUCGCCUUCCUACUUACACUCUAGCCUUUCCAUACAUUGGCAUUCUCUCCUGGCCCUAGCCAGCGCUCCACACCUGUUGGUGUGCCACCUCCCUCCCUCUUCCCCCACUGGCCUUGAACAGGCAAACCCCCUAAUGUUGCCCCUAGGUUGGGUCCAUGACUAGGACACCUGCUAGACGGUCUGUGCUUGGGCCUUUUCUAGGAAUCCUGAUGUUACUGGGUAAGUGCCAACUCUGUGGGCAGAAUGCUAAUGAUAAUCCUGUUCCCUAACCUCUUUCUCAGAAGUACCCUGGCUCACUCUCCCCAAUCUCAGCUUUAUAGAACAACAUUUUGGUCUUGAUUAUUCCCAUAUCAAGCUGCCCCAGGGCUUCGGUAAGCUGUUAGUUGCCCCACUGCCUCAAGGCUGGGUCUGGCUGAGCUACUUUCUUAUGCACACAAAUAAUGGGUGUCUCCUUGGAACCUGACACAAAACUAUCAGUGCUACCAAGCCUUGUAAAAUAGGGAAGAAACUAAUAUUUCUUGAGUGGCUUCUGAGUGCCUGGUGCUUUCACGGCUCUCUGGAGAGAUUCCUUGCCCUGAUGCCUUUGGUGUGUACUCCUCUCCCAGGACUUCAGCACUGAGAUUUUCCCAACCCCCUGGCUUUUCCUCACCUUGGGUUGAGUUGAUCCGGCACUACCACAAACCCCAGCAUCUGCAAACCAACCAAGAUUAGGCAGUAUGCCCUUUCCGUCUUGCACUGCUCUUCCAAAACUUCCAUCUGUAUUUCUCACACCCUCAGUAAGCAAAGCUGAGUGUGCGUAGACAGAGCUGCAUCCACUGCUUUCUCCCAACGGGUGCAGUCUAAUCUGACACGGGGAACACUAGGAGUUUAGCGGAAUCUUCAGCCACCCUAUUAAUGUGUUACGCAUUAGGCAUUGUAGUGGAAACUACUCUGACGGCUCAUGAUUAUAUGAACAGGAGCAAUUUGGAAUAUAACAUGUCAGCCGUGGACUGGGAGGUGCCGUAAGAGAAAACACUACCAGGGUCAUAGGCUUGGGUCCUUGAGGCAACCUAGCAGGGACGCUGUUGCCCAUUCCUCUCAUCCAGACUGCAGGUAUCUUCCUACACCUCCCUGUCCCAUAGCCUCCGUCCUGUUUUUUGUUUGUUUGUUUUUCUUUGUGAAUGUAGAAAAACAUUUCAUCAUGAGCCCUAGCUCCUCAGUUUUCCACCUAACACCCACAUUCCCUUGUUUCUAACUGCCGUGUUUUUCUGGAGCCUGCUGGGAUCUUUGCAGUUUGCAGAUCAUAGAAUCAGACAUGAAAAGGCUUCUCUUCAGACGUCAUUGGUUCCUGGCUCCUUUACAGAUGAGAACACAGGCCCAGAGGCAUAAAGAGAAACAAAAGACAAUGAUGGUAUUCUCUGUGUCCUCAGCUUUGGCACUUUUGUUGAUGUUGCUAAGGAGCAGUGACCUUGCUAAAAAGACUGAAUAAUCCACCCACUGAAUAGCUAACCUGGGAAGGAAAUGAAAAUUUCCUAUGUGGAUCUCCCCAAAUCCAUUGUUGUCACCAGGCCCUCCCAGAGCCUCCUCAGUUCCUUCACAGUGCAACCCUGUGUACUUGGCCCGCAACCCAAUAGUAUUGUGCCUCACUUCGCCUUCCAUGGGCAACUGC